rnacentral:rRNA from 1 species
CUAGGUGGCAAGCGUUGUCCGGGAAUUAUUGGGGCGUAAAGCGCGCGCAGGCGGUUCUUUAAGUCUGAUGUGAAAGCCCACGGGCUCAACCGUGGAGGGUCAUUGGAAACUGGAGAACUUGAGUACAGAAGAGGAAAGCGGAAUUCCACGUGUAGCGGUGAAAUGCGUAGAGAUGUGGAGGAACACCAGUGGCGAAGGCGGCUUUCUGGUCUGUAACUGACGCUGAGGCGCGAAAGCGUGGGGAGCAAACAGGAUUAGAUACCCUGGUAGUCCACGCCGUAAACGAUGAGUGCUAAGUGUUAGGGGGUUUCCGCCCCUUAGUGCUGCAGCUAACGCAUUAAGCACUCCGCCUGGGGAGUACGGCCGCAAAGGCUGA